rnacentral:rRNA from 1 species
AACGAACGCUGGCGGCAUGCCUUACACAUGCAAGUCGAACGGCAGCACGGGAGCAAUCCUGGUGGCGAGUGGCGAACGGGUGAGUAAUAUAUCGGAACGUGCCCGGUCGUGGGGGAUAACGUAGCGAAAGCUACGCUAAUACCGCAUACGAUCUACGGAUGAAAGCGGGGGAUCGCAAGACCUCGCGCGAUUGGAGCGGCCGAUAUCAGAUUAGGUAGUUGUGAGGUAAAGGCUCACCAAGCCGACGAUCUGUAGCUGGUCUGAGAGGACGACCAGCCACACUGGGACUGAGACACGGCCCAGACUCCUACGGGAGGCAGCAGUGGGGAAUUUUGGACAAUGGGCGCAAGCCUGAUCCAGCAAUGCCGCGUGCAGGAUGAAGGCCU